UAUAUCUCACUGAAAAGUUCCUCUUUAGGUGAUUCUGUCUGAUUUUACGAGUGAUGAGAUAUUUGGACUAAAAUAAGAAAAAUACACUUGGGAAGAUUUAGAUUUUUUCCAGUGCAUCAGUGUCAGAAUGUUGUGGCUGAUCGGUGUAAAGACGACACCCAAGAGUCAUGGGAUGUCAGUGUAACUAUUGUUUUCUAUAAUCUGACCACAGUCAUUGAAGAUCUCAACAUGACCAGACUUGUAGUGAUCUUCACCGCUAUUAAACAUUUUCUUAGUCGUUCCUGAAGAAUGAGAUGAAAUACGGCUUUUUGGUGUUGGUGACCUGUACCAUAAAAAAUGACAGAUGCUGUUCACUGAGCUGUUUCCACACGAAAUUAAAUGGCACUGAAAGCUGCCGGAGCUAAAAUCAGAAAAAAUACCAGAAUUUGCAAAUACACAAGGUGUCCCAAAAAAAUUGACAUCAUCUGAAAUGUCCAUAUCAGAGUGACUACAUGGUCAGGAGAAAUGAUACUUAAUAGGAUUUAUUUUGGACGUAAAAUGUUUUAUCCUACAAAUUCCAAACAAAAAAUUCUGGGGGAUGGUAAUUUUAUAAUGUUCCAUUCUUCUUUGGACUCCAACUAAACAUUUCCCGAACUUGGUUUACCACCUCUUCUGAAACUGCCGGCCGUCCAGAUCCUUUUUUCCCCCAACACAAACAACCUUCCUCUUGAAACUUCUUAUACCACAUCCAAAUCUGCUUUCCUGUUGGUGCUUGUUUAUGAAAUUUUCUAACAAAUUCACGUUGCGCAUUCACAUUUGACGAUGUUUGGGCGUACCUCAGAACACAGAACGCCUUUUCUGUUGCAGUAAACCAUAUGUCUAUUCCUGAAAACAGAACAAUACAAAUGAUUACUCUUUUUUGAGCAAAAAGCGCAAACAAAUUUGAAAGAAAUUAUUAGGUGAGGAAAUGAUGUCAAAUUUUUUGGGACACCCUGUAUAUCGUCCAUCUUUAGCUGUCUACUCUCAGCUCAUAUCAAAGAUAAAUCUGGAUGAACCUGACACCGUUCUACGUUGCAAAAAUCGGGCAUAGGUGGAAUUCUUGUUUUGCUUCAGACCAUUUUAGCUCAAUCUGCCAAAAGGUAAAAGCAUCACAGCUUUAACCAUCUUAACUUUCCUAAAUUAUCUACAUUGCGUCUGAAAAUGAUGACACAGUUUCCACCGGAUCAGAAACAAUAGUGGCUGCAUUUUUGCACAUGUGCAGACCGAUCCGGGUUUCGGUAUCUGGAUCACCAGUGACUGACUUCACCAGCUGACAUGACCAGCUCAGUUACCUACCAGCAUUAAAUGUGAACGAUGAACUUCUGAUCAGGUGACUCGUUGAUCCCUCAGGUGAGUCCUCACAGAGACGGACAGGUGAGCCUUCUCCAGGUGUUCCUCUCAGUUUGGACCUGACGUCGCUGCACUAAAGCCUAAGCUCCACCCCCUCCGCUGGAACUUCCCUGUUGUGUUUCUGAAAAUAACAUAGGAAGGACACACUCUGGCUACAUGUACGUACGGACUGGAAAGAUCUGCUACAGGAUGUUAGCUUUAACCAGCAUUUAACACCCAGCAAUGAAAUCAUGUAACACAUUACAGUGGGGCGGGGCUAAGAAAACAGUUAAUAAUAGCUUAAUUUGUUUUCGUUUGUCUGUGUUGAUUUCAGGAAUAAAAAAUAAAAAAAACAGAUUUGUCUAAACUACCAAAAAAAGAAAGAUAGAAAAACAACUGCCAAGCUUUUAGCUUUGUAAGCUAACAGGCUGUAAAGUUUCCUUGCAGCGUUUUGUCACUUGAAUGCUGAGUGUUUCGAGUUCACCAUUUUCUGUGUUGUAAUGAUGAGUUUAUGAGUUCCACUUACAGGCAGCAUAUGUUCCAAGGGUUUCCCAAGAUCCCAUUAUUCCUAGUGUUAGAAGUUCCCCAAAUCCCAUUCUCCUGUUACAAUGUUCCUAAGAUGCUAUGUUCCCAAAAUGUUUUAUUUCCAGCGUCUCGUGUUCCCAAAACCCAAUACUGAGGACAUCAUAGCCUCUGAAGAUUCUGUCUAAGAAUGUAUUUUCCCUGAGUGUGAAGUUCCCAAAUUCUCAUCCUCACAUCAUUCUGUGUUCGCAAGAUCCUUUGGAACAAAGAUCCUGUGUACCUAAGAUCUUAGGCUCGGAAAACCAUUUGUUGUUAAGAUAUUCUAUCCUCAAGGUCCCAUGUUCUCAAGAUUCAAAGUCCAGGAUGUCCUAUGCUUUAAAGAUCCUGUGUUCCUAGAGUCUGAAGUUCCCAAACUCCUGGUUUCCUAGGGUCAUGUGGUUCCAUGACUCUAUGUUCCCAUGAUCUUUUUCCCUAAGGUGUUAGAUUCCCAAGGUCCCAUGGUCCCAAAAGCCUACGCUCCCAUCAUCAUAUGUUCAUAUGCAAGAUGUUAUCUUGCCAAGAUCCUAUGUUCCCAUAGUCCUAAGUUUCUAAAAAUGUGAUCCCCUCCUAUGGUUCUGUGUUCUCAUGAUCCUAUUUUCCCCAAGACCUGAUCUUCCCAUGGUCCCAUCCUGUCUUUCAAAGGGCACAGGUUCCCAAGAUCCCAUUCUCCAAAGAUCUUGUGUUCUUAAGCGCUUAUGCUCCGAAGAUCCUAUCUGUCCAAGAUCCUAUAUACCCAAUCAUAUGUUUCUUAGAUCCCAUGUUCCCAAGAUCUUACUUCCCUAAGUUGUUAUACUCAGAAGGUCCUGGGUUUCAAAGAUUCUAUUCUCUGAAGAACCUGUGCUCCCAAGAUGAUUCCUAUGAUCCUUUGUUCCUAGACUCAUAAACUGCCCAAAUUCUGUUCUCUUCGAGUUGUGAGUCCCCAGAACCUGAACCUCUACCCAAACCUGAGAACAUGGACCCCUUCGUCAGGUUCCAGGUAUGUGUUGUACAAAUCUUGGGAACAUUGGACCCUGAAUGCUUAGUGUGAAAGCAUCUAAAGGUAGAGGAGACAUUUUACCUGUUCAUCUCCUUGUGUGUCCUUCAGACUUAUGCUGCGUUUAGGUCCUGUAGGAGAUUCCAUGUUUUCUUCAUCAGAUGGGUGACAGUAGUGGUUGUCAGUCUUCUCAUUUUUGAUCCAUGAAUUGAUCGAUUCACUUACGGAAAUAACUGCCACCACCUUAUCCUUGUCUAUGUGUGAAAUUCUACUAAAUUAAAGUCAGAAUUUGCUUUUUAUCACCAGCUCGGAGAAACCUGGUGACUUUAAUAGUAUUAACAGUUGAACCGUGUAAAUUACCAUAAUUCUGAUGUGACUUGAAUGCAGCAUCAGAUGUGGUCUUCUGCCUCUGCAGGACUCGGGGGGUCCGGUCUGAGAGCAAUAAGAAUUUCAGGAUGAAAAUCUGCUGCAGCGACAAUCAGACGAUGAUGUCACAGACACUGAUUGAUUUGAUUGACUGAUUCUUUUGUGAUUGAUCGGUUAUUGAUGAACCAGCCUGCUUUUGUACUGAGCUCAACUGACUUUUAUAAACAUGUCCAUGAACUCGGCUUUGUAGAACUAAUCUGACGUCAGGUUUAAGGAGCCCAAAGGAGUGAAAACAUGUAACGAAUAUGGAUCUAAUCACUUUAUUUGUACCUUCAAUUUGCCAAUGUUUGUUAUUGAUUAUGAAAUGUGUCAUUCAGGAGCUUUUUUCUGCUGAUUCUCAGUGAUAUUUGAUGUUUGUUCCUGGACUCUGAACCAAAACAUCGGGUCUUUUUAUCGUCUGUUCUGUCAGUCUGUUACCUAUUUAUUGAUCAGUUCGAUCAGCUUCACUGAAACCAGUCUGACCUCCACUUUAUCGCUGCUUCUCCGUCGGUCUGCUCCGCUCAGCUGCCAUCGUCAAACAGGAAACAGUUGAACACCUGAUCAUCAGGUCUCACCUGGCCACAGUGACGCCACACAGGUCAGGUUAUCAGGUAUCAACGCCAUUAAAGAACUCUGUGUCUAAAAACACACACAGCAGACCGUAAACUGUAUGUAAAGAUGGACGCUGUGACAUCACCUCCUUCUGAAAGUGAAACUGGCCACAUUACAUUACUUUGUUAAAUCCGUUAUAUAAAAAGAUAAAUAAUGCUGCGUAUAGACUGUUAGAACUCUGCAUUUUACAUCAUUUAAAAACAUAUUGAAAAACUGCAGCAUAAACUGCACCUUUUUUGCUGCUUUGUUAGAAAAUAUCACAAUAAAUGAGGCGUAUAGACUGUCAUGAUGCUACUUUUUACAUCAUUUAAAAAAAAAAAAAAAAAGCAAAAUAUGGCAUAUAAACUGUUAUGAUAUUGCUUUUUACACAUUUUUGUUAAAGGAUCAGUGUGAAAUGCAGUGGACAAAUGAUCAUGGCACAACUUUUUAUUUUGUAAAAAGAAAAAAGUAUUUAAAAUGCCGCGAUCAUGUUUUUUUUUUUUUUUUUUUUUUUAACAAAUUUUGGUAAUUUUUUUUUUUUCAAGGCAGUGAUCAACUCUUAACUUUUUAUGCCUUUUUUAGGGUUAGGUUUUUUGUUUAAAUGCUACAGUGCCACUUUUUUCAUAGUUUGGUUCAAAGAUCAGGAUAAAAUGCCGCAUCAAACUGGUUUUUACACUAUUUUCUUAACAACUCUUCGCUUCCUAAACCCUGCUUUUUUAUGAAUACAUGCAACAGUGUGAUGUUAUCAACACUGUUUUUCUUUCUUUUUUUCACACUAUUGUUUUGUUCAUUCUUGACCCAUUUUGUAGUGAACAUAUGAACUGUCAUGUGCCUAUUUUUACACCAUUGUGUCAAAAUUAGUAUAAAAUGGAGCUGCAAACUGUUGGCAUGUAACACAAAUCUGUAAAAUGUCAGAGUAACAAACAAAAUUUUACAGAUUUUUCUUUUUAACACAUUUUAAAAGUGAUGUAACGUGGCUGGUUUUGUAAUAGAUUUUCCACAUUAGAGAAACUAUUUGUCUCCUGUGAGUCGGUGUUGAGUUAUUUUGCAUCAUCAAUAUCUGAUCAGACAGAUGACAUUGAUCUGACCUGUACCACCGUCGUCCACCAGGGGGCGACUGACAUUCUGACUGCACUUGAAGGAGGUGAUUCUUCGUCCAUCUUUAUGUUCACUCUGUGUUUUGGACUCUGUGAGAGGAGAUUCACUGUUUCCUGUUGUAUUUUUUAUUUACAGUAUUUUUCUCUUUUCUGUUGCGGCUUUAGUUGAGCAGAAACUUCUCAGAUAUCAGAUAUCCCAGCAUGCACUUCUACUAACUCUGGUCUCACACCAAAGCAGAACAGACGUCAGGACAAAAACAAACUGUAAAAAUCUGUAAAGUACACACAGUGAGGUCGCCUGAGGACACCGAGUACUGCAGUAGUGUAAGUAUUAACACUGCGUACUCUGUCCGUCAGGGACGCAUCACUGCGUUCUGCCGUGUUGUGUUCAAGUGCACUCUGUACAGAUUCAGCUCUGUGUAAAAAUCAUUUUCUAUCUUUUUGGACUCUUUUGCUGUUUGUACUUUUUUCACCCUGUUGUUUGAUGUAAAUAAGUGACGGCAGCCUGAGACUGUAAACAUGCUGUUUUUAAAUAAAAAAUUCAGCUCAGUAUUUA